rnacentral:rRNA from 1 species
UGAGGAAUUUUCGGCAAUGGGGGGAACCCUGACCGAGCAAUACUACGUGAAGGAAGAAGGUCUAAGGAUUGUAAACUUCUGUUAGUGCGGAAGAAGGACUAAACGCAAGUUUAGUUUUGACGGUACGCGCAGAGAAAGCAACGACUAACUAUGUGCCAGCAGUCGCGGUAAGACAUAGGUUGCGAACGUUAUCCGGAAUUAUUGGGCGUAAAGGAUGCGUAGAUGGUGUGAUAAGUUAUCAGUGGUAAAUCAGGGCUUAACCUUGUGGAAGCUGGUAAUACUGUCAUGCUUGAGUUCAGGAAAAGUUAACGGAACUCUAUGUGGAGCGGUAAAAUGUGACGAUAUAUAGAAGAACACCAAUGGCGAAAGCAGUUAACUAUUCUGUUACUGACAUUGAGGCAUGAAAGCGUGGGGAGCGAAACGG